rnacentral:rRNA from 1 species
GCCCGCUACAGAAACUUAAAGGAAUUCGACGGGACCCCGCACAAGCGGUGGAUCAUGUUGUUUAAUUCGAUGAUACGCGAAGAACCUUACCAGGUCUUGACAUCCCCCGCGAUGCUUUAGAGAUAAAGCGGAGGUAUUCGGGGAGACAGGUGGUGCAUGGUUGUCGUCAGCUCGUGUCGUGAGAUGUUGGGUUAAGUCCCGCAACGAGCGCAACCCUAUUGCUAGUUACCAUCAUUAAGUUGGGGACUCUAGCGAGACUGCCAGUGAUAAACUGGAGGAAGUGGGGAUGACGUCAAAUCAUCAUGCCCCUUAUGACCUGGGCUACAAACGUGAUACAAUGGCUGGAACAAAGGGAUGCGAAGCAGUGAUGUGGAGCGAAACCCAUAAAAACAGUCUCAGUUCGGAUUGAAGUCUGCAACUCGACUUCAUGAAGUCGGAAUCGCUAGUAAUCGCGGAUCAGAACGCCGCGGUGAAUACGUUCUCGGGGUUU